GAUGAACGCUGGCGGCGUGCCUAAUACAUGCAAGUCGAACGCUUCACUUCGGUGAAGAGUGGCGAACGGGUGAGUAAUACAUAAGUAACCUGGCAUCUACAGGGGGAUAACUGAUGGAAACGUCAGCUAAGACCGCGUAGGUGUAGAGAUCGCAUGAACUCUAUAUGAAAAGUGCUACGGGACUGGUAGAUGAUGGACUUAUGGCGCAUUAGCUUGUUGGUAGGGUAACGGCCUACCAAGGCGACGAUGCGUAGCCGACCUGAGAGGGUGACCGGCCACACUGGGACUGAGACACGGCCCAGACUCCUACGGGAGGCAGCAGUAGGGAAUUUUCGGCAAUGGGGGAAACCCUGACCGAGCAACGCCGCGUGAAGGAAGAAGUAAUUCGUUAUGUAAACUUCUGUCAUAGAGGAAGAACGGUGGAUAUAGGG
rnacentral:rRNA from 1 species